rnacentral:rRNA from 1 species
UUCGUUGUAGCAAUACGAUGGAAAGUCUAGUGGCGAACGGGUGCUUAACACGUGGGCAACCUGCCAGGAAGUGGGGGAUAGCUCGCCGAAAGGCGAAUUAAUACCGCAUGUGAUUAGAGAGGACAUCCUUUCAAAAUUAAAGUCGGGGCAACCUGACGCUUCUUGUGGGGCCCGCGGCCUAUCAGCUAGUUGGUGGGGUAACGGCUCACCAAGGCUUUGACGGGUAGCUGGUCUGAGAGGACGACCAGCCACACUGGGACUGAGACACGGCCCAGACACCUACGGGUGGCAGCAGUCGAGAAUUUUUGACAAUGGGGGAAACCCUGAUCGAGCGACGCCGCGUGGAGGAUGAAGGUCUUCGGAUUGUAAACUCCUGUCAUUGGGGAACAAUGCGCAGAUAUUAACUGUAUUUGUGUUGAUAGUACCCGAAGAGGAAGAGACGGCUAACUCUGUGCCAGCAGCCGCGGUAAUACAGAGGUCUCAAGCGUUGUUCGGAUUCAUUGGGCGUAAAGGGUGCGUAGGCGGCGCGGUAAGUCGGGUGUGAAAUCUCGGAGCUUAACUCCGAAACUGCAUUCGAUACUGCCGUGCUUGAGGACUGGAGAGGAGACUGGAAUUCACGGUGUAGCA